rnacentral:tRNA from 1 species
GCCUGUCUGGCUCAGUUGGAAGAGCAUGUGACUCUUGAUCUUGGGGCUGUGAGUUCAAGCCCCACGUAGGGUG